rnacentral:tRNA from 1 species
AUUGUUUUGUCAGAAAAGAAUGAAUUAAGUUUAGAAUUUAAAUAUGUAUAUAUAUAUAUAUAAACAAUA